AGAAAAUUUAACUGAUCUUUAAGUAGUUUUUCCAAUUGAAUCUACAUUUGGCAUUUAUGUUUUGUAGAUCCACAUAUAGUUAAUGAGGUAUUAUUUCCAAGAGAUUACCUCCUAGAAACUGGUUGGAGUGGAGUUGACUUCUACGUCUUAGACAUGAGGGCUCAGUAACAUGGUAGAUGCGGCUGUUUGGAUGAUUGCAGCUGUUGUAGAGAUCACAAGAUUGCGAAUGCUGGCUAGGAAGAACACGGUUAGAGUAGAGGUGAAUUUAGGAGGGUUACGGUUGCUAGCUAGAAAGAUCACAGUUGAAGAAUAGGAGAAUAUAAGGGGGUUGCAACUGCUGGAGAAACACAACAAUGAUGGUUGUGGAAGCUAGAAUCGAAGAAUUGAAGAGCUAACAGCGAUGAAUGUUGGAGUUAGAGAGAAGCUUGUAGCAAUGAAGGCUGCAGAAGAUACCCAAAAAUACAAAUCCAAGGGCUCUAAUAGCAUGUGAGAAAAUAUUAGAGAAUUCUGUUGAUCUCAAUUUAUUCUAAUUAAGAGCAAAGUGUGUUCUUAUACAAGCUGUAUAGAGAAGACAACAAAAAAAAAUUCAUAUAUACAAUGAAACACAAACUAAAAAAAUGAUGUCCAUUUGAAUGAAAGAUUUCCUUAAUCAAUAAUUUUAUGAUCCAUAAAUUAAUUUGAGUUCUUUCUGUAAGGAGCCAUUCCCGGAAUGGAAUAGACAUUGUUGGUUGGUUUUCAUAAUAAUUCCAGCACUUGCAGUAAUUAAUUCUUUCAAUAGAUGAUCAGUCCCAUAUUUGAUGGCAAGCAUUCCGUUCCAACAACUAUAAGUCGGAUAUCUAUAAGAACAUAGCCUCCCUAUUCUCCAAUUAAAAAUGAUCGUCUGCAAUUAGCUGUUAUUGUCUAAAAACUUUCCUCUAUAUGCUUUCUCAAUAAGGCUUCGUUUGAGACGACUUUCUUACUGCUUCUUAAGUAUCUUUUUAGUACAAUUUUUUUAAUUUUUAUACUAAAAAAUUACUUUGCGAAGCAAUAAGAAAGCCGUCCCAAACAAAACCUAAAUCACCCUGAAGAUCAAUCUGUUAAAAUUACUAAUAACCGGAUCAACAUUGACUGAUUGCCUAGCCAGAUGGGCAGACAUCCUAAAAACAGUCAUCAUAUCUGUACUUUUUUUUUCCAACCUAGCUGUACUAAAUGCAUCAUUUUUCUUACAGGUUGACAAAAUUCAGAUAUCUGAAAUCUUCCAAACUGAAGAGAAGAAGUACCGUGUAUGGACUGCAUCACCAAACAUGACCCUCGGUAAUGCUGAAAUGAUCAUGGAUUUGCAUGGGUUGAACCAGCUUCCUGUUGUGUCACAGAUGGUCGAUGGUCAAAAUAGAGGACCCUUGAUUGGUCUGCUGGACAGAGAAUGCAUAAAGGUCACGUGCAGAGCAAUGGCAAUAAAAGAGCUUCUCAGUCUAUCUUCUAUGAAAAGAAAGCACAGUUACUGAGUUGAACCUAAAUAAGUUUGAUGAGCUGUUGAUUGCAAAUGUAUAUAGCAUUCAAUGCAUGAUACUGCUUACUGUUUUGAUUGACUAUCAUGGUGGCUUUAAGGUAUUUAAAUGGCCAAAUGUAUAGUUUUGAACGACUAUAUUCAUUAAUUCUCAAUUCUAAAGUUAGCAGGAUGAGAGUUAUUAUGGUGUAAAUGAGGAUCAAAUUUAAAAUUUCGCGAUCAACGUUCGAAGACACUUUAUCAGUCGGACGAGUUGGAGCUAUUAUUCUGUGCGGACACUGGACGGUUCUCCCGUUUAGUUACGCACUCGGUAUCGAGUGCGAUACAUUUUUUGAGGUGACGUGGCACAUUUUUAUUGAUCUCCGGACGAAUCUGAACGCUGCACGUAAUAAUUUUUCUACGCACUCUAUUAGCAGAACAGCUUUCAUUCAGAAGCUGAAUAUUCCCCUCUAUACUAUUAUUUCAGCUGCAGGAACAAAAGGCAUAGAAUUCAUGUGGACUCAACAAAGCUCAAUAUGCUA